CAGUAGCCACGGUAAUACGAAGGGUGCAAGCGUUAAUCGGAAUUACUGGGCGUAAAGCGUGCGUAGGCGGUUUGUUAAGUCUGUUGUGAAAUCCCCGGGCUCAACCUGGGAAUGGCAAUGGAUACUGGCAAGCUAGAGUGUGUCAGAGGAUGGUGGAAUUCCCGGUGUAGCGGUGAAAUGCGUAGAGAUCGGGAGGAACAUCGGUGGCGAAGGCGGCCAUCUGGGACAACACUGACGCUGAGGCACGAAAGCGUGGGGAGCAAACAGGAUUAGAUACCCCCGUAGUCCCUGUCUCUUAUAC
rnacentral:rRNA from 1 species